rnacentral:rRNA from 1 species
AGUGAACGCUGGCGGUAGGCCUAACACAUGCAAGUCGAACGGCAGCACAGUAAGAGCUUGCUCUUACGGGUGGCGAGUGGCGGACGGGUGAGGAAUACAUCGGAAUCUACUUUUUCGUGGGGGAUAACGAAGGGAAACUUACGCUAAUACCGCAUACGACCUACGGGUGAAAGCAGGGGAAAUUAGGACCUUGCGCGAGUGAAUGAGCCGAUGUCGGAUUAGCUAGUUGGCGGGGUAAAGGCCCACCAAGGCGACGAUCCGUAGCUGGUCUGAGAGGAUGUUCAGCCACAGUGGAACUGACACACGGUCCAGACUCCUACGGGACGCAGCAGUGUGGAAUAUUGGACAAUGGGCGCAAGCCUGACCCAGCCAUACCGCGUGGGUGAAGAAGGCCUUCGGGUUGUAAAGCCCUUUUGUUGGGAAAGAAAAGCAGCAGGUUAAUACCCCGCUGUUCUGACGGUACCCAAAGAAUAAGCACCGGCUAACUUCGUG